ensembl:lncRNA
UUUCAAGCCAAAAGCUGAUAGCAGCAUUUCUGGCACACGUCAGCAAUGAAACUUCACACAAAUGUCCUUGUGAUCUUUCCUCCUUGGAAUGGAUCGAAUGCCUGGCAACUCAUUCCCAGGCCAGAAGCAAGCGGAGGGAGAAUUUUGCUGGUGAUCUGAAGGGUGUGAAGAGGUUGUGGGAAAGGAAAUCCGUGCCAAGGAAAAGAGGAUAUUCUUUGUCCAGCAAUGGGGCUCACUAUAACCUUGCAGCCGUGGACAGAGGAGAGUAUUCUCUGUCUAAAAUAGGGCUCACUAUGGCCUUGUGCCCAUGGAUGGAGGUUAGGAUAAGAGGCCUCAUUUUCAGAUCACCAUCAC